UACGUAGGGUGCAAGCGUUAAUCGGAAUUACUGGGCGUAAAGCGUGCGCAGGCGGUGAUGUAAGACAGGUGUGAAAUCCCCGGGCUUAACCUGGGAACUGCAUUUGUGACUGCAUCGCUUGAGUGCGGCAGAGGGGGAUGGAAUUCCGCGUGUAGCAGUGAAAUGCGUAGAUAUGCGGAGGAACACCGAUGGCGAAGGCAAUCCCCUGGGCCUGCACUGACGCUCAUGCACGAAGCGUGGGGAGCAAACAGG
rnacentral:rRNA from 1 species